UAAGAGAGUUUGAUCCUGGCUCAGGAUGAACGCUAGCGGGAGGCUUAAUACAUGCAAGUCGAGGGAGUUUUUCGGAACGACCGGCGAACGGGUGAGUAACGCGUACACUACCUACCUUACACAGGGGAAUAGCCUUUGGAAACGAAGAUUAAUGCCCCAUAGUACCGAGAGGUUAAAGCGUUAGCGGUGUAAGAUGGGUGUGCGUGCCAUUAGAUAGUUGGUGAGGUAACGGCUCACCAAGUCGACGAUGGCUAAGGGGCGUGAGAGCGUGAACCCUCACACGGGUACUGAGACACGGACCCGACUCCUACGGGAGGCAGCAGUAAGGAAUAUUGGUCAAUGGACGGAAGUCUGAACCAGCCAUCCCGCGUGCAGGAUGACUGCCCUAUGGGUUGUAAACUGCUUUUGUAUGAGAAGAAACCUAUCUAUUUAUAGGUAGUUGACGGUAUCAUAAGAAUAAGCACCGGCUAACUCCGUGCCAG
rnacentral:rRNA from 1 species